rnacentral:rRNA from 1 species
UGGGUAAUUUGCCUUGAAGUUCGGGAUAGCCAUUCGAAAGAGUGGGUAAUACCGAAUGUGCUCGGGUACCGCAUGGUACCUUAUGUAAAUGUGGGGAUUCUUCGGAACCUGCCGCUUCUAGAUAGGCCCAUAUCCUAUCAGCUUGUUGGUGAGGUAAUGGCUCACCAAGGCUUACGGGUAGCCGACCUGAGAGGGUGACCGGCCACACUGGGACUGAGAACUGCCCAGACUCCUACGGGAGGCUGCAGUCGAGAAUCAUUGUCAAUGUACGAAAGUAUGAACAUGCGACGCCGCGUGGAGGACGAAGGCCUUCGGGUUGUAAACUCCUGUCCUGAGGGAGUAAGUGCAGGGAACUUAAUACGUUCUCUGUUUGAUAGUACCUCAGAAGAAAGUCACGGCUAACUCUGUGCCAUCAGCCGCGGUAAUACAGAGGUGGCAAGUGUUGUUCGGAUUUACUGGGCGUAAAGGGUCCGCAGGCGGUCUUGUGUGUCGGAUGUGAAAGCUCACGGCUCAACCGUGGAAUUGCAUUCGAAACUACAGGACUAGAGUACAGGAAGGCCCUCUCUGGACUGAUACUGACGCUCAUGGACGAAAGCUAGGGGAGCGAAGAGGAUUAGAUACCCUCGUAGUCCUAGCCGUAAACGGUGUGCACUUGAUGUUGGAGGUUUACCCCCUUCAGUGUCGAAGCUAACGCGUUAAGUGCACCGCCUGGGAAGUACGGCCGCAAGGUUAAAACUCAAAGGAAUUGACGGGGGCCCGCACAAGCGGUGGAGCAUGUGGCUUAAUUCGAUGCAACGCGAAGAACCUUACCAGGGCUUGACAUGUAACUGCAUACGACCAGAAACGGACGUAGCCUUCGAGGGUGUUACACAGGUGCUGCAUGGCUGUCGUCAGCUCGUGCCGUGAGGUGUUGGGUUAAGUCCCGCAACGAGCGCAACCCCUAUGUUUAGUUGCCAGCACAUAAUGGAGGGAACUCUAAACAGACUGCUGGUGAAAGCCAGAGGAAGGUGGGGAUGACGUCGAGUCAGUAUGGUCCUUAUGCCCUGGGCUGCACACGUGCUACAAUGGGUGGUACAGAAGGAAGCAAUACCGCGAGGUGGAGCAAAUCCCCAAAACCAUCCCCAGUUCGGAUUGGAGUCUGAAAUUCGACUCCAUGAAGUUGGAAUCGCUAGUAAAGGCGUAUCAGCUACGACGCCUUGAAUACGUUCCCGGGCCUUGUACACACCGCCCGUCACAUCAUGGAAGUCUGCUGUACCCGAAGUCGCUGAUCUAACCAUUUACUUGGAAGAAGGCGCCGAAGGUGUGGCCGGUGACUGGGAUGAAGUCGAACAAGGUA